GUGCUUGCUUCAGCUGCACAUAUUCCAAAAUUGGAAUGAUACAGAGAAGAUUAGCAUGGCGCUUUGCAAGGAUGAUGGACAAAUUUGUGAAGCGUUCCAUAUUUUU
ensembl:snRNA U6 U6 spliceosomal RNA